AACGUAGGUGGCGAGCGUUAUCCGGAUUUACUGGGCGUAAAGCGUGUGCAGGCGGGGGGGUAAGUGGGGUAUGAAAUUUCCCAGCUUAACUGGGAGGGGUUAUGCCAGACUGUCACUCUAGAGUGCGAGAGAGGAACGUGGAAUUCCGGGUGUAGAGGUGAAAUUCGUAGAUAUUGGGAAGAACACCGGUGGCGAAGGCGGCGAGCUGGUCCAUUACUGACGCUGAGGCGCGACAGCGUGGGGAGCAAACAGG
rnacentral:rRNA from 1 species